GAACGACGCUGGCGGCGCGUUUAAGCAUGCAAGUCGAGCGGCAAGGGCCUUCGGGCCCCUAGAGCGGCGGACGGGUGAGUAACACGUGGACAAUCUGCCCCCCGGCCCGGGAUAGCCCAGGGAAACCUGGAUUAAUACCGGAUGAGACGGGACCCGCGAUGGCGGGACCCGGGAAAGGCGCUGCGGCGCCGCCGGGGGAUGAGUCUGCGUCCCAUUAGCUAGACGGCGGGGUAGCGGCCCACCGUGGCGACGAUGGGUAGCCGGCCUGAGAGGGUGGACGGCCACAUUGGAACUGAGACACGGUCCAGACUCCUACGGGAGGCAGCAGCUAAGAAUCUUCCGCAAUGGGCGAAAGCCUGGCGGAGCGACGCCGCCGUGAACGAAGAAGGCCGUGAGGUUGUAAAGUUCUUUUCGGGAGGGGGAACAACCGUGGCAGGGAAUGGCCGCGGGAUGACGUGAAUCCCGGAAUAAGCCCCGGCUAACUACGUGCCAGCAGCAGC
rnacentral:rRNA from 1 species